AUAACGUAGACCAACGUGAGUCAGUGUAGUAUCUGUUCUUAUGAGAUGCAUAUCUGAUGCGGGUUCUAUUUGGACCCAAGGUCUUAAGGUUAUUUUUGCAAGUUGGCGGAGUGCUUGAAGUGUGCUUAACCUCCGCCGCGAGUCGGCCUAGUAUUGGACUAUCUUCAGGAUCGGCCCACGAUUU